CCAAUAGCGUAUAUUAAAGUUGUUGCAGUUAAAAAGCUCGUAGUUGAAUUUCGGGAUCAAUUUAUUGGUCGUGCCAACGGUACGCACUGGUACAAUUGGUUUCUCCCUUCUGACGAAGCAUGAUGUCAUUAAUUUGAUGUCGUGGGGAAUCAGGACUGUUACUUUGAAAAAAUUAGAGUGUUUAAAGCAGGCUUUGGCUUGAAUACAUUAGCAUGGAAUAAUGAAAUAGGACGUUUGAUCUUAUUUCGUUGGUUUCUAAGAUCGACGUAAUGAUUAAUAGGGAUAGUUGGGGGCAUUAGUAUUCAAUUGUCAGAGGUGAAAUUCUUGGAUUUAUUGAAGACUAACUACUGCGAAAGCAUUUGCCAAGGGUGUUUUCAUUAAUCAAGAACGAAAGUUAGGGGAUCGAAGACGAUCAGAUACCGUCGUAGUCUUAACCAUAAACUAUGCCGACUAGGGAUCGGAUGAUGUUAAUUUUUUAAUGACUCAUUCGGCGCCUUACG
rnacentral:rRNA from 1 species